GAUGCACUAGGUCGAGUCCAGCAGUCCUACACCAAUACAUACACAUAGCGAUCUCUCUCCCUAUCAUUUUUUCUCCUUUCAUUGUACUGACGAGAAGUAGCCUGGGUGCUACAAGUCAAAUGAUUUAGUUUGGUUUGUCUACGUCUACUGGUGUAUAGUGACUCCUAAGGUUUCUCUUGUGUUGAGUUUUCUUGAUGUUGUGAUAUAGUAUAACUUGGAUUCGAAAGACAGCCGGUUAUAAAAUAUUGGAUAUCCGCGUUGAACACAGUAAAAACAUAAUAAGUUCAAUUUAGUGAUAUAUUUGGCAAAAGGACGAUGACGGACUCGAGGAAUAACAACAGAGAGAUGCAAGAAUCACAAGAAGACCGGAUUGAAGCGGGGAUAACAAGACUAGAAAGAAAAGUCGCUGAAAUUCAAAAGGGUAUGAUUAAACUUGAAGAAUUAAUAGAGCUAGUUCUUAUUCGAGUGGAAGAACUAAUGAGUAAGAAGCAAUAAAAGAGUACUAUCAAUUAUGUAUAUUUGUAUAACUCAUCACUCUCAUCAGUUAAUUAUGUUUUUUAUCUUAAUUUAUAAUUUCUCAAUCGAUCGUUUGUUUAAUUUUGAAUUUCUUAAUUGGUUUUUUCUGAAAUUUUUAACACGGUUUUGUAUUUUUUUUUUUCACUGUCAAUUACUUACUUUACCUACUUUACUUACGAGAGGAGAAUGCUUAAAAAAAAAAGUGAAAAUUUGAGAAAAUUAUCAUUUUGAUAUUUUUACAAACACAAUAUUAAUAGUAAACAUCUUCGAAUUACGAUAGUUGGAUUAAAAUUGGUUAGAAACGUGCCCAGUGUGAUCAUAUAUCAGGGUAAACAUUGUCAAAUGAUUUUUUUUUCUUUUUUUUACGUGUCGUUAUUUUUCAUAUUCGUAAUUUCGUGCUAUAAAAUAUAUCGUCAGUUGUUUUUAUUUUUAGUGAUGAUUUUUUUCAAAUAAGUACCUACCUACCUAGUGAUUUUUUUUAUAUCGACGAUUAGUUAGAAUUAUUAGGUACCUGAGAAGCUCGUGCAGGCAUUCGAGCCUCAUUGCUUCGCUCUUGCUGUAUUAAAAUAAUUUUUUUUUCAAUUCAACUAAGUUUUCAAACGUUUUUAAUUAGUGCGUGUAAUUUUAUUUCUGAUAUAGUACUCGUAAUUAAAAUAUGAGAUUAUUUGUAAAAAGAUUUCUUCGAUCGAUAAUAUCUAUUGAAAAAAUGUAAAAAAAAUGUAUACAUAAAUACCUAUAUUUCAAA